GAUGAACGCUAGCGGCAGGCUUAACACAUGCAAGUCGAGGGGCAGCAUAGAUUGCUUGCAAUCUGAUGGCGACCGGCGCACGGGUGCGUAACGCGUAUGCAACCUACCCUAUACAGGGAGAUAGCCCGAAGAAAUUCGGAUCAAUAUCCCAUGGUAUUGUUUUUUCGCAUGAAAGGACAAUUAAAGAUUUAUCGGUAUAGGAUGGGCAUGCGUUAGAUUAGUUAGUUGGAGAGGUAACGGCUCACCAAGACUACGAUCUAUAGGGGGCCUGAGAGGGUGAUCCCCCACACUGGUACUGAGACACGGACCAG
rnacentral:rRNA from 1 species